GAGUUUGAUCAUGGCUCAGAUUGAACGCUGGCGGCAGGCCUAACACAUGCAAGUCGAGCGGAUGACGGGAGCUUGCUCCUUGAUUCAGCGGCGGACGGGUGAGUAAUGCCUGGGAAUCUGCCUGGUAGUGGGGGACAACGUUUCGAAAGGAACGCUAAUACCGCAUACGUCCUACGGGAGAAAGCAGGGGACCUUCGGGCCUUGCGCUAUCAGAUGAGCCUAGGUCGGAUUAGCUAGUUGGUGGGGUAAUGGCUCACCAAGGCGACGAUCCGUAACUGGUCUGAGAGGAUGAUCAGUCACACUGGAACUGAGACACGGUCCAGACUCCUACGGGAGGCGGCAGUGGGGAAUAUUGGACAAUAGGCGAAAGCCUGAUCCAGCCAUGCCGCGUGUGUGAAGAAGGUCUU
rnacentral:rRNA from 1 species